CUUUACAUGAAGCCAAAGAUUCGAGCUUCACAUGAAACCCCUUCUUCCUUCUUCUCAAAACUCGAUCUCACUACUCCUCUCUGCUCUCACUCUCAGAUCUCAACUACACCUCCACUCUCUCAGCCUCAGGCCAUUCUCUUCAAUUUCCACCAACAAAGCCAAAUGGAACUCAACCACCAACGUGAUCAUCACCAACCCAACUCUGCUAAUCAUGGAGUCAUGCACCACCAUGCUCCAACUCAAACAAAUUCAAGCCCACAUGACCCGCACUGCCCUCAUCACUCACACUUUCCCUGUCAGCCAAGUCCUAGCAUUUUGCGCUUUAGCUGAUUCUGGUAACAUUCGAUAUGCCCGUGUGCUGUUUACUCAGAUUGAAAGACCCAAUACUUAUAUGUGGAACACUAUGAUCAGGGGCUACUGUAAAGCCAAAAUUCCCACCAUUGGGUUUUCAUUUUUUCGUCAAAUGGCUCGAGAAUGCGUCGAAAUGAUCGCCGGAGCUUUGUUUUUGCGCUCAAGGCGUGCGAGCAGUUUUGUACAGUUUUAGAGGGGGAAUCAGUUCACUGUUGGAUUUGGAAGAUGGGUUUUGAUUCGGAUUUGGUAGUGAGAAAUGGGUUGGUUCAAUUUUAUGCUGAAUGUGGGUGUUUGAAUUUUGCACGUGAAGUGUUUGAUCGAAGUUUUGAAAGAGAUGUUGUUACGUGGACCUCGAUGAUUGAUGGAUAUGUGGUGCAUAAUUGUUCGGAGGAGGCAUUGAAAUUGUUUAAUUCAAUGUUAAUGAGUGAUGUUGAGCCAAAUGAGGUUACCAUGAUUGCUGUACUUUCAGCGUGCUCCCUAAAAGGGGACUUAACUAUGGGAAAAAGUAUCCAUGAGUAUAUAAAAAAGAGGAACGUUAAUUAUAGCCUGAAUUUGCAAAACGCUAUGUUGGAUAAUAUGUAUGUAAAAUGUGGUUGCUUGGUUGCUGCUAGGGAGGUUUUUGAUGACAUGAAAAUUAGAGAUGUGUUUUCAUGGACUAUUAUGGUUAAUGGGUAUGCUAAGUUUGGUGAGUUAGAUUUAGCAAGGAAGUUUUUUGAUGCCAUGCCUGAAAAAAAUGUGGUCUCUUGGAAUGCAAUGAUUGCAGGUUAUUCUCAGAAUAAUCAACCAGAGGAAGCAUUGAAGUUGUUUCGUAACUUGGUGGGAGUUGGUUUGCAUCCAAUAGAGAACACAUUGGUCUGUGUGCUCUCUGCUUGUGGUCAACUGGGUUCUUUGGAUUUGGGUCAAUGGAUUCACCAUUUCUAUAUUAAUCAAAAGCUGAUUCAACCUAGUGUGAUCCUGGCAAAUGCAUUUAUUGACAUGUAUGCUAAAUGUGGGAGUAUUGAUGCAGCUGCAAUGAUUUUUAAUGAAACGGUGGAGAGAGAUUUGGUUUCUUGGAAUUCCAUGAUUGCUGGAUAUGCUUCUCAUGGACAUGCUACAAAAGCCCUUGUCCUUUUCAAUGAGAUGAUUAAUAUGGGAUUUAAGCCUGAUGAAAUCACAUUUGUGGGUGUCUUAUCGGCUUGCAGUCAUGGUGGUUUGGUUUCUGUAGGUCGAGAAUAUUUCAAAAGUAUGAAUAGAAAUUUUGGGAUAGAACCAAUGGUUGAACACUAUGCUUGCGUGAUUGAUUUAUUUGGUCGAGUGGGGCUACUAGAUGAAGCUUAUGAAUUAAUAACAAAAAUGCCCAUGGAAGCAAGUGUAGCUGCAUGGGGCGCCCUUCUUAAUGCUUGUAGAAUGCAUGGGAAUGUUGAGGUGGGUAAGCUUUCUGCCUUUAAGCUUUUAGACUUGGAUCCUGAAGAUAGUGGUAUCUAUUCAUUGCUUGCAAAUAUUUGUGCUCAUGAGAGAAGAUGGGUGAUGUAAGGAUGGUUAGAAGUAUGAUGAGCGAGAGAGGGGUUAAGAAAACUCCUGGUAGUAGUUUGAUAGAGGUAAAGGGUGAGUUUUAUGAAUUUUUGGUUGCUGAUGGAUCACACACUCAAUCCGAAGAUAUUUAUAGGGUAUUAAACGAAAUAUUUUUGCUGUCCAAAGUGGAAGACUCUGUUCCUGAUACUAAACUCAAUUCAUGAACUUUAACAUGUUUGAUGCAUUAUUUACAAAUUGAGUGACCGACUCGUCAAGAUGAGGGGUCAGGGUUGCAGAACAUGCAUGAACCAUGAAAUCAAGGAGAUAAGACACCAAAAUUUGAGCGACUGUCUUGGCUUAUAGACUUAUAGUGUAAACCAAGGUCCUCAACUUGACCCAUCUAGACUUCCUCUCAUUCUUCUCUGGUGGAAUUUCUGAUUCUCCCAAACCUAUCUCUUCAACUUCCC